CCUACGGGGGGCGGCAGUGGGGAAUAUUGCACAAUGGACGAAAGUCUGAUGCAGCAAUGCCGCGUGUGUGAAGAAGGCCUUCGGGUUGUAAAGCACUUUCAGAUGUGAGGAAAAGCAGUCUAUUAAUACUAGACUGCCGUGACGUUAACAUCAGAAGAAGGACCGGCUAACUCCGUGCCAGCAGCCGCGGUAAUACGGAGGGUCCAAGCGUUAAUCGGAAUUACUGGGCGUAAAGCGCGCGUAGGCGGAUAUUUAAGUCAGAUGUGAAAUCCCUGGGCUCAACCUAGGAACUGCAUUUGAAACUGGAUAUCUAGAGUAUGGUAGAGGUGAGUGGAAUUUCAGGUGUAGCGGUGAAAUGCGUAGAGAUCUGAAGGAACAUCAGUGGCGAAGGCGACUCACUGGGCCAUUACUGACGCUGAGGUGCGAAAGCGUGGGUAGCAAACAGGAUUAGAUACCCUGGUAGUCCACGCCCUAAACGAUGUCAACUAGGUGUGUGAGAGUCUAACUCUUGCGUAUCGAAGCUAACGCGAUAAGUUGACCGCCUGGGGAGUACGGUCGCAAGACUAAAACUCAAAGGAAUUGACGG
rnacentral:rRNA from 1 species